rnacentral:lncRNA from 1 species
ACCAAUGAUGACUUCCAUACAUGCAUUCCUUGGAAAGCUGAACAAAAUGAGUGGGAACUCUGUACUAUCAUCUUAGUUGAACUGAGGUCCACCGGGGGCUAUAGAGGGACAACUGUCAUUUUUUUUGAUGCCCGUUGCAUGAAGCAUUCUUCCAGGCUUAGGAAGGGAUUCCGUUUGGGUGAAGGAGAGUCACAGGGGAGUUGAGGCUAUGUGCACAGGACUUCUGUCUACAAGGCUGGGGUAGCACACAUGCAGUCCGUGGGACUAGGUGAAUGUGCAGGUUGCUCAGGGAGAGUUAACCUGUAGCCUGCCUCUGGGUGGCCAAGAUUGUCCUUGACUCCUGGCUCUGGGUUCCCACAACCCCUGGAGGAAGACAAGUAAUUGUGCUUGGGAAGAGAGAACAAGGCCAUACUUUUGCCUUUCUUUUUUUCAUUCUUAGUUUGAGAACAGUGGAGUUCCAAUCACCUGGCAUAGCUUUCAUGUUGUGUUCCAUGCAUUGUGAGUACAUGCAUAUGGCAGGAACACACAGGUUCCCACUGCAAGCUGAGCCUGAUAGGCAAGGAGUCUCUAGCUUAACCCCAGCCCAGUGUACGUCAAUGGCUUCCUCAUUAAAAUUGCAUGGCCCUGUAGCUUUUGUGAGUGACAUUAUAGGUAUCGAUGUAAGGGUGUUGAGAGGGAUGCUCAAUGUCAGUGCUCUUUAGUGUGCUGAUGCACUACUACAAGGGCACCUGAGCCCUUGUCCAUGCAUUUCUGUGUCCAAAAUCAGGUAAAGCCAGAGUUGGGUAUCAACCAGAUACACUGCAGGGGAUCAGAGGACAUGGCCUUUGUGUACUGCACAUCUGUCAGAUUUUCUCAAGCACACCCGUGUUUCCUCUUCACCUCCCACGUGGAAGUGAUGAAUUGGCCAGGACCAUGUUGGUGAGGGACAAUCAUCAUCUCAUGUUAACCUCAGAGAAGCCAGGAAGCUCCUGGACACACAUGGUGUAGGCUUCCUUGGAGGCUGUUGGAUCUCUCCUGAAUGUAGUGUUGGUGUAAAAGGCAAACCCGUGUCAUGAGGGAUGGUCAUCAUCUUGUGUGAUCCUUGGAGAUGGCAGGAAGCCCUGGACAUACAUGGUGUGGGGGCUCCUCCAGAGGCUGUUGGGAUCCUCCUGGAUGUGGUGUGGGCAUGGAAGGAAGGCCAGUGGAGACAAUGGAUGAUCUUGUUCUUAGCAGAUCACUGGAUGUGGCAGGGAGUCCUAGGACAUGUGUGGUGUGGGCUUCUUCAGGUGCUGGUGGAUCCCUCAGGAUGGUAAAUGUCCAUUUUCCAAAAUCUUCUGAUAUUCCAUCUUUGUAGGUAC